UACGGAAGGCAGCAGUGGGGAAUAUUGCACAAUGCGCGCAAGCCUGAUGCAGCCAUGCCGCGUGUAUGAAGAAGGCCUUCGGGUUGUAAAGUACUUUCAGUCGUGAGGAAGGUGUUAAGGUUAAUAACCUUAGCAAUUGACGUUAGCGACAGAAGAAGCACCGGCUAACUCCGUGCCAGCAGCCGCGGUAAUACGGAGGGUGCGAGCGUUAAUCGGAAUUACUGGGCGUAAAGGGCACGCAGGCGGUUAAUUAAGUUGGAUGUGAAAUCCCCGGGCUUAACCUGGGAAUGGCAUUCAAGACUGGUUAGCUAGAGUCUUGUAGAGGGGGUAGAAUUCCGAUGUGUAGCGGUGAAAUGCGUAGAGAUGUGGAGGAAUACCGGUGGCGAAGGCGGCCCCGUGGACAAAGGACUGACGCUCAUGUGCGAAAGCGUGGGGAGCGAAACAGGGAUUAGAUA
rnacentral:rRNA from 1 species